rnacentral:rRNA from 1 species
AGUGAACGCUGGCGGUAGGCCUAACACAUGCAAGUCGAACGGCAGCACAGUAAGAGCUUGCUCUUACGGGUGGCGAGUGGCGGACGGGUGAGGAAUACAUCGGAAUCUACUUUUUCGUGGGGGAUAACGUAGGGAAACUUACGCUAAUACCGCAUACGUCCUACGGGUGAAAGCAGGGGAUCUUCGGACCUUGCGCGAUUGAAUGAGCCGAUGUCGGAUUAGCUAGUUGGCGGGGUAAAGGCCCACCAAGGCGACAAUCCGUAGCUGGUCUGAGAGGAUGAUCAGCCACACUGGAACUGAGACACGGUCCAGACUCCUACGGGAGGCAGCAGUGGGGAAUAUUGGACAAUGGGCGCAAGCCUGAUCCAGCCAUACCGCGUGGGUGAAGAAGGCCUUCGGGUUGUAAAGCCCUUUUGUUGGGAAAGAAAAGCAGCAGGUUAAUACCCCGCUGUUCUGACGGUACCCAAAGAAUAAGCACCGGCUAACUUCGUG